CUUAUAUGGUGACUGACUGUGACAGGAGACAGACGGUAGCAGAACAUCACACCGACAGCUCGUUAGGUUGUUACUGUCACUUUAAACCUGCUCAUCAAUAACACGAUCAGGACCUCAUCAAUGAGGACGACCCGAUGAGAUAAAUCCUCUACUCCGUGUAAACACUGAACUUCUUUAUCGAUUAAUUUGAUAAAAGUAAUUGUUUUGGUUUGUCAAAUUUCAGAACAGAGGACAUGAAGUACAGUUUGAUGACAGAGAGCUCAGAAUCUGUUUCUCAGACAAGACAAACAAACAAAAAAAAAAAGCACGACUUCCUGUCCUUUUGUGACGGAAACGGGUGAAAUAUGCAUCUGAACCGACUCUUUGGCGUUUGCUCGUACUUGCAGGCCCGUCUGUGGCUCUGCGUCAGAUAACGAGCUGCAACCUUCAGUCAACAUUUAAUCUGCCGCUGAGGACGAGACUGCAGGCACACCCAGAUAGAAACCUCCCAGAUGAGCACAAUUUAAAACUCAAAGCAUUUUAUCUACAGCAGUCACGGUUUUCUGGGUCAGCCGCAGAAAUCACAAACUAAACAGACAGCAUUCCCGAGGAGGCGUGUUUCAGGUAUGUCCUCUGCAGCUGGAGGUCAGCGCUACAUGAUGUACAGAUGUGGUCAGCUGUCACAUCUUAAAGGCCAAAAUAUGUGGUUAUUGUAGGAGUCGACUGAAAGCAGCAUUCACACCAAGAGAUCCUCUCAGGAGAGGAACCUGGAUGCCAUCGAUGGCCAGCAGAAAAACUACAGCAGACAUAACAGUAGUGCAGCUUGAUGAGUGAGCAAAUGCACCUGCGCAGGUAGUAAACACUGACAAGUCCCUCGGCUGAUGUUAUUUAGUGACAUCACUGUGAAUGUUGCUAUAAAAUCUUUGUAUGAUUCAGCAACAGUGUCAUCAUGCUUACAGCUGCUUACAGGAAGCUGAGCAGACAGUGGGCGGAGUCAUGUAUAGCGAGGUACCAACCAGGUCAUGAAGGUUAAUAAACAAUGAGCCCAUCAGCUGUCAGUCUGAAGCGGAAGGAGCGAUGAGAUGACGUCAGAACGUAAAGGGAAACGCCUAAACGUAAGGACGGCGGACGGAAGUAGACGGACGGAAACGGAGACGUCAGAAUAAAAUGUACUUUGAUCGACAGCAUGGUGCGACUCACCUGUGAGGACAUCUUUUGUCCGUACCACUCCACCAGCGUCUUCCCUGGCGGUGAC